UACGUAGGUGACAAGCGUUGUCCGGAUUUACUGGGCGUAAAGAGCGCGCAGGCGGUCGAUCAAGUCGAGUGUGAAAGCCCCCGGCUCAACUGGGGAGGGUCAUUCGAUACUGAUCGACUCGAAGGCAGGAGAGGGUAGUGGAAUUCCCGGUGUAGUGGUGAAAUGCGUAGAUAUCGAGAGGAACACCGGUGGCGAAGGCGGCCUUCUGGACAGUGACUGACGCUGAGACGCGAAAGCGUGGGGAGCAAACAGG
rnacentral:rRNA from 1 species